rnacentral:lncRNA from 1 species
UUAAUUAAAAAAAAACAAACGUCGUUAAAACGGUACAGGGGAAAAGCUUGACUGUAUGCAGACUACGCGUUUUGCGCACCUGUGUCGAUACCGGCGAGUGAAGUCGUUUCCUUCUCACAACAAUCAACAAGGCUCCGCCAGAGAGCAAAACAAAGUCUAGACAAUCAACAGGAAGUUGGCGAGUUUCUCACGUCACUUUUCUAACUGCAGAAGUCGGUUGACGUCACGAAACUUCCAUGUAUCGAGCUCUAGCACAUAUACUUAAAAAACUGUCGACAUCGACAGAUGAACAGAAAAAAAGAAGGAAGAACAAACAUGGACAGUAGAAGGUGGCAAAGGAGUCUAAGUGGUGCAGACAGGCAACCCGAAACAACCGGCAGCAUUGUCGAUAAUAAUGUUAACGCACCUAUUGCAUCACAAAAACACACGGACAACCGAAAUGUGUCGCAUCGGCAGUUUAAUUUCCUCCAACUGGCGC